rnacentral:rRNA from 1 species
UACGUAUGGUGCAAGCGUUAUCCGGAUUUACUGGGUGUAAAGGGAGCGCAGGCGGAAGGCUAAGUCUGAUGUGAAAGCCUGGGGCUCAACCCCGGUACUGCAUUGGAAACUGGUCAUCUAGAGUGUCGGAGGGGUAAGUGGAAUUCCUAGUGUAGCGGUGAAAUGCGUAGAUAUUAGGAGGAACACCAGUGGCGAAGGCGGCUUACUGGACGAUAACUGACGCUGAGGCUCGAAAGCGUGGGGAGCAAACAGG